rnacentral:lncRNA from 1 species
CAAAAUACCUAUUCAAAAUAAGCAACCAUUUGAAUUGUAACAGUCCAACACAAGAAGACUAUACUAACCAAAUAAUCAAAAUACUAAACCAUUCAUUGAAGAAUUCAGCGUAUAAUGCACGAAUCAAACUUCAAAAACGAGCUGUCCUUUAGAAACCUAUAUCAAUAUCCUAGCAUGUCUUCUAGCCCUCCAUUCUUUAACUUUGUUUGUUGUCAACUUCAACCUUCCUAAUCAGUUUAGACUUCCAAUCAAGAAGUUGACCUUUCGUCUAUAUACUUGGCACCCUUCUUAUUCCAUGAAACACAAAUCCUCCAUUCAUAGUCUACUCUGCCCGUGUUCUCUUCUCUAAUCAUCAUUUGGUCUAAACCUAAAUUUUCACCGAGUUGUAACCUCAUUUUGCGAAGAUUCAUCAAUGUCCUUCCUUUAGGGUCUGCAUUCAAUUCCACAGCAACACGUUCUGGUGCAUUCUUGUCGUACUGAAAACCAUCAUCGUUCCGGUAAUCAUCUGAAUCACUCAAUUGGCAUUCAGGAGGUACCAAUUCUUCAUCCUCAAGUUCAUGGCUGCAU